UACGAAGGGGGCGAGCGUUGUUCGGAAUUACUGGGCGUAAAGGGCGCGCAGGCGGCUCAGACAGUCAGAUGUGAAAGCCCCGGGCUUAACCUGGGAACUGCAUUUGAUACUACUGAGCUUGAGUACGGGAGAGGAUAGUGGAAUUCCCAGUGUAGAGGUGAAAUUCGUAGAUAUUGGGAAGAACACCGGUGGCGAAGGCGGCUAUCUGGACCGUAACUGACGCUGAGAUGCGAAAGCGUGGGGAGCAAACAGG
rnacentral:rRNA from 1 species